UACAGGGGGGGGCAAGCGUUGUUCGGAAUUACUGGGCGUAAAGGGCCAGUAGGCGGCCGACUAAGUCCGACGUGAAAUCCCCAGGCUUAACCUGGGAACUGCGUCGGAUACUGGUUGGCUUGAAUUCGGGAGAGGGAUGCAGAAUUCCAGGUGUAGCGGUGAAAUGCGUAGAUAUCUGGAGGAAUACCGGUGGCGAAGGCGGCAUCCUGGACCGACAUUGACGCUGAGGAGCGAAAAGCGUGGGGAGCGAACAGG
rnacentral:rRNA from 1 species